rnacentral:rRNA from 1 species
CGCGUAGGCGGUCUUAUAAGUCAGAUGUGAAAGCCCACGGCUUAACCGUGGAAGAGCAUUUGAAACUGCAAGACUUGAGUACCAGAGGGGAAGGUGGAAUUCCCGGUGUAGAGGUGAAAUUCGUAGAUAUCGGGAGGAAUACCGGUGGCGAAGGCGACCUUCUGGCUGGAUACUGACGCUGAGGCGCGAAAGCGUGGGGAGCAAACA